AUGCCGCCACACCUCUUCGCUCUGCUGCCACCGUGUCGUUACUCUGCUGCUCCAACACCCGUCGUCGCCCCGUCGCACUCGCGCCGCCGUCCCUCCGUCCCCUGUUUCAAAUCGAAACACGUUGUAUCAAUAAGUUAAUAUCUUCAGCGUUUCAGAGAUGUCAAUUAUCGGAGAAGAUAUGCAGACUCUCGAUGAUUCUCGCUUGAUCUACGUCUUCCUCUCUUCGAGUCUCAAGUAAUGAGCACAUACCUUUAUAUUAGUGUGAUUUAUAAUUUCUAAUUGUUCCUCUCUUUAAUUUCUAUUGAUGCUUGUAAAACAGAUGGAAUUCUUUCUAUCAAAACCAUGAGUAAGUUUUUGAUGUUCUUGUUAUGGUUAGUUUUGCUUCGAUUUCACUAAAUAUAUGCACACACGUCAAGCGAAAAUUGGAAAAGAGAUAGCUAUUUUCUUAUCUGCGUCAUUAUCAGAGGUAAUAUGCAAGCCUUCUGUAUAAGCCUCCAAGCAAAAUUGUUUUACUCUUAAGUACGUGUUGUUUGAACUCCUCAAUUUUCAUCAACCAUGUGGAUAAGGUGCUAUUUUAAUUGUUCUACAUCGUGGCUUAACAUUGAAAUAGAUUCCAAUUAUUUAAUAGCGUUAUUGUGUUGAAUAUAUUUGUGCUACUUUUAGUUUAUGCUACUAUGUACCGGUGCUGCCAUCUUGGUUUAUGUAGUUUUUUUUAAAGAAAUUUGAUUUCUAUCAAAUGUUCUUAAAGAAAUUUGAGUCCUUGAAAAUCCAUUUUUGCUUGUCCUUGGGAACUCCAGGUCUAAUGUAUACAACUUUGGAGUAAUAUUAUGGGAACCUACAACCGAAAAGAUCCCUUGGGAUAAUCUCAACUCAAUGCAGGAACAUUGCAGGUGAUUGGAGCCGUGGGGUUCAUGGAUCAGCGACUUGAAAUUCCAAAAGAUGUUGAUCACGAUGGGCUUCUAUAAGGAAGUGAAACAUCAUUAGCAAAAGUAUCAAAUAUGCUCUCUUAAAAUAUAUGUGGGAGCAUAAUUUGGAAAGCUUUUAGCUUCACAACAAUCAACAGUGACAGGGGAGUUGAAUUUGAAGGUGUUGUUACAGAACUAGUCCAUGUUCUUAUUACUAGCCCAUGUUAAACAAUGCUUUUGUAGAAACACCAAGUGACGAUGAAUGGAUAGAGGAACUCAAACAUGGGAAGGGAACUGAAUCUCUAUAUAGUUACUGCUGCAGUUUAUGGUGGAAUGUGCAUGGGGGUAUUAACUGUGCUUGGAGACUUGAUGAUGGGUCUAUUUGGCACAGGAGCUGAGAUCAUGCUUGCUGCUACCAUCUUUUAUGAGUUGUCUGAGGCAUUAGAGAACGAACAUGACCUCUGAACUUGGCUUUUAGGAACUAGUUUCUUUCUUGAUUGGAAACUAGCUUACAGUUAGUUUAGUUAGUUAGCCUUCUUGUAAUAACAAUUGAUUUCACUAGUUUAUGUAUUUGGAUAUUUGGAUUUUGUUUGCAGGUUUUGAUGCCUAUACCGAAGCCAACAGGUUAUGCAGGAGACGAUCCUUAUAAAAUUUGGCAAUGGCUUUCGAGUUUGCAAGCAUGUUGUGUGGUGUUUCCUCCUCAGAAUGACGGUGGCAGAUGCUAUCACAAUACUCAAGUCCUUUGUUCCCAUGCCCAUGAGCUUCAAUAACCUUUCUUCUCUCUCUCUCUUCUUCUACAAGAAAGAAGAGCCUUCAAUUCAUAUUUCCAGGUCAAAUAUACCAACAUUCACAAUUUCUUCUUCUUGUUUUUUCCAAUUGUUUUGAAUAUGGUAGAAAUAUUUUUGAAUAUAAUGAAUGGGUUGUUAGAUAGGAAACCGUGUUUGAAUUUAUAGCUACACUGUUACUAAUGCGUGCCACAUGUUUGAUCAAAGUUCUUAGUGAGUAAUAGAAAAUAUGAUGCUUUUCUAUUUUAUUUAUUUAUUUGUUCAUAUGUAUAUAUAAAAUUAGUAGUUAAAUAGAUUUGAAUUACUGUGA